GGGUUUGAUCCUGGCUCAGGAUGAACGCUGGCGGCGUGCUUGAUACAUGCAAGUCGAACGAACCAUUAGGUUUUAGAAGGCCUGGAAAACGUGGGCGAUGAGAAAUCGUAAGAAGCGUUGGAACGGUUGGAUAUUACUGAUGUGGUGAGUGGCGAACGGGUGAGUAACACGUGGGUAAUUUGCCCCAAAGUGGGGAACAACUGUCCGAAAGGGCAGCUAAUUCCGCAUACGAUCGAGAGAUGAAAGGCCUUUGGGUCGCUUUGGGAUUAGCCCGCGGUCGAUUAGCUAGUUGGUGGGGUAAUGGCCUACCAAGGCGAAGAUCGAUAGCUGGUCUGAGAGGAUGAUCAGCCACACUGGAACUGAGACACGGUCCAGACUCCUACGGGAGGCAGCAGUAAGGAAUAUUGCACAAUGGGGGAAACCCUGAUGCAGCAACGCCGCGUGGACGAAGAAGGCCUUCGGGUCGUAAAGUCCUUUUCUGAGGGAAGAGGAAGGACGGUACCUCAGGAACAAGUCUCGGCUAACUACGUGCCAGCAGCCGCGGUAAAACGUAGGAGGCGAGCGUUAUCCGGAUUCACUGGGCGUAAAGGGCAAGUAGGCGGUUGUUCAAGUUAGGUGUGACAUCUCCCGGCUUAACUGGGAGGGAGCGCUUAAAACUAGGCAACUAGAGGGCGGAAGAGGGGGGUAGAACUCCUAAUGUAGCGGUGGAAUGCUCAGAUAUUAGGAAGAAUACCAGUGGCGAAGGCGACCCCCUGGUUCGUGCCUGACGCUGAGAGGCGAAAGCUAGGGUAGCAAACGGGCUUAGAUACCCCGGUAGUCCUAGCUGUAAACGUUGGAUACUAGGUAAUGGGAGCUAACAUGCUUUCAGUGCCGAAGCAAACGCGUUAAGUAUCCCGCCUGGGGACUACGAUCGCAAGAUUAAAACUCAAAGGAAUUGACGGGAGCCCGCACAAGCAGCGGAGCGUGUGGUUUAAUUCGAUGAUACACGAAGAACCUUACCUGGGUUUGUCAUAUACGUAGUAGUGAACCGAAAGGGGAACGAGACUUCGGUCAGCGUAUACAGGUGCUGCAUGGCUGUCGUCAGCUCGUGCCGUGAGGUGUCAGGUUAAGUCCUGCAACGAGCGCAACCCUCGUUACCAGUUAUAUUUUACUGGUGAGACUGCCGGCAUAUAACCGGAGGAAGGUGGGGAUGACGUCAAGUCAGCAUGGCCUUUAUAUCCAGGGCUACACACACGCUACAAUGGCCGGUACAGAGGGCAGCGAAGCCGCGAGGUGGAGCAAAUCUCACAAAGCCGGUCCCAGUUCAGAUUGUAGGCUGCAACUCGCCUGCAUGAAGUUGGAGUUGCUAGUAACCGCAGGUCAGCAAUACUGCGGUGAAUACGUUCCCGGGCUUUGUACACACCGCCCGUCACGUCAUGGAAGCUGGUAAUACCUGAAGUCGGUGAGCUAACCGUAAGGAGGCAACUGCCGAGGGUAGGACUAGUGACUGGGACGAAGUCGUAACAAGGUA
rnacentral:rRNA from 1 species